rnacentral:rRNA from 1 species
GACGAACGCUGGCGGCGUGCUUAACACAUGCAAGUCGAACGGAAAGGCCCUGCUUGCAGGGUACUCGAGUGGCGAACUGGUGAGUAACACGUGGGUGCUCUGCCCUGCACUUCGGGAUAAGCCUGGGCAACUGGGUCUAAUACCUGAUAGGAGCCAUUUUUAGUGUGAUGGUUGGAAAGUUUUUUCGGUGUUGGAUGAUCUCGCGGCCUAUCAGCUUGUUGGUUGGGUAAUGGCCUACCAAGGCGGCGACGGGUAGCCGGCCUGCGAGGGUGGAAGGCCACAUUGAGACUGAGGUACGGCCCAGACGCCUAAGAGAGGAAGAAGUGGGGAAUAUUGAACAAUGGGCGCAAGGCUGAUGCAGCGAGGCCGCGUGGGGGAUGACGGCCUUGGGGUUGUAGAAAACUUGCGCUAGGGACGAAGCUUUUUGUGACGGUACCUAGAUAAGAAGCACCGGCUAACUACGUG